ACACACUAUCUUUAAUUUUAGAUCAAAAUAAUACAUAUUCUUUCACAUGAUGCAUUAAUAGUCCUAAUUCUUUAUCAAAGUGGAGCACUUUUAGUCAUCGCCCAAACGAAGGUUAACUUUUUAACGGAGACUAAAAAGUUACACUAAUCAAACGUUCAGCUUCUCUUUCCCUCUGUUUUCUUUCUUGCGAAGAGAAUACCCAGCCUGUUGAGCCAAAACAGAAAACACAUCACAUCUGCAUUAAGCUCUUUAUUUUUGGGAUUUGGAUAAGCUGCUUUUGGGUUCAUUUUGCAUUGAUGAGGAAGAGCCCUAAGGUAUGGAAACCAUGAUCAUGCUGCUUUUACCAUUGAUUCGAGCUAUUGGAGAAAAUCAAUGAGUUCGGAAACAAAUUGGAGGUAUGCGGAAUGUGGCGACGCAUAACUAGGAGAAGUGAAAAGGAGAGACAAAUGAAAAACGGGAU